GACGAACGCUGGCGGCGUGCCUAAUACAUGCAAGUAGAACGCUGAAGAGAGGAGCUUGCUCUUCUUGGAUGAGUUGCGAACGGGUGAGUAACGCGUAGGUAACCUGCCUGGUAGCGGGGGAUAACUAUUGGAAACGAUAGCUAAUACCGCAUAAAAUUGACUAUUGCAUGAUAAUUAAUUGAAAGAUGCAAUUGCAUCACUACCAGAUGGACCUGCGUUGUAUUAGCUAGUUGGUGAGGUAACGGCUCACCAAGGCGACGAUACAUAGCCGACCUGAGAGGGUGAUCGGCCACACUGGGACUGAGACACGGCCCAGACUCCUACGGGAGGCAGCAGUAGGGAAUCUUCGGCAAUGGGGGGAACCCUGACCGAGCAACGCCGCGUGAGUGAAGAAGGUUUUCGGAUCGUAAAGCUCUGUUGUAAGAGAAGAACGGGUGUGAGAGUGGAAAGUUCACACUGUGACGGUAUCUUACCAGAAAGGGACGGCUAACUACGUGCCAGCAGCCGCGGUAAUACGUAGGUCCCGAGCGUUGUCCGGAUUUAUUGGGCGUAAAGCGAGCGCAGGCGGUUAGAUAAGUCUGAAGUUAAAGGCUGUGGCUUAACCAUAGUAUGCUUUGGAAACUGUUUAACUUGAGUGCAGAAGGGGAGAGUGGAAUUCCAUGUGUAGCGGUGAAAUGCGUAGAUACAUGGAGGAACACCGGUGGCGAAAGCGGCUCUCUGGUCUGUAACUGACGCUGAGGCUCGAAAGCGUGGGGAGCAAACAGG
rnacentral:rRNA from 1 species